ensembl:lncRNA
AUGUAAGAUCCCUUCCCUCCCCACCCCAGCUUUCAAUGCAGCUGUUUAUAUACCCAAGAAUCACACUGGCUUUCUUCCCCACACCACUGCACUGGGCACUGGGCACUCCAAUGCAGAUGCAAGUCUUGCUGAUUCUUAAAGUCUUUCCAGGGCUGUUGCUUUCCUGGUUAAAAAAAGAUCAUAUAUUCUUUGAUCCAAGAUGAAUGAACACCUUUACUUGUGUUAAAUGCAUCUGGCUUGAAAAGAAAAAUCCCUUCUGGUGUUGCUGGCACAGUCUGUUAGUCAUCACCCCAAAGUAUUGAUGGUACCUGUACAUAUUCUUACUGCGAUGUUGUAUUUACUUGUAGAUCACUCUAAAUGCAGGAUACAGAGACCAGGAUGUUACUUCCUCUAGGGUGCUGUUAGAAAUCCCAGUUCAGUGACUGCUUUUGGAGGCGUCUCUGGGUCUGACACACACACAAAGGGGUGCAGCUCCUACAGCAAAGUGCCUGUUUUGCAAUCAUAAUGACACUACCGAUCAAACAUGUCAUGAACUCUCCAUUUGUUACAUUUACAGGGCCUCUUUAUGACCGAACUCAAACUCCUGCUGAAGAACAACAGCUCCCCAGAAUCCUUGGGCUUCUGUUCUCUGGAGCUUCCCCGUAUCCAGAGAUGUUUUGAACGUUCACACCAGGAGACCAAUAUUCUCUGGCUAUCUGAGUGCUCCAGGAUGCUGGGUGGGAACUUAGACAAGACAACUUCCUUCCCUGAAUCCCUGGCUCUUGUGCUGUAUCAUCUUCUGCCCACCCUCAGGUACAGAAACACUGCAUGUGAUCUCUGCUUUUAAAGCCAUGUGGGACUGUGAGCAGUACACCAGCAUGUCCUCGAGCUGAGCAGAGAUUUGUGCCCAAAUGGAAAUGUCUGAGCUGGAAUUUUCCCCUUGCCACCCUUCCUGUAAGAACCUGUCUCUUGCCAUCCAGGACAUGGCUUGCACAGCCACAGCACAUUUCCUCCCUUGGGACGUGUGUGCUUUCAAGGACUGAGCCUCCCACUGGCCUGGUGAUAUUGCAGGGAACUGUCAGCAGUGGCACCCCAGUGCAGGAAUGCUCAGCAUCCAAACAGCAGCCUUAAAAGAAGAUGGUGGGAAGUCUCUGUUUCCUUGAUUGGGAAAAGAACAGAGGUCUGGCCUGGCUGUGACUCAGCUGGUAAGCCAGCAUGGGGCUGCUUUCUGAUGAGGACAUCUCAAAGGGCUGGCUCACCAUCAUGCCCUCUGCACUGCCGUGGUGCCAUAAAACCCUUGUGCUGCUGUGAAACCCU